rnacentral:rRNA from 1 species
GUGCCAGCAGCCGCGGUAAUACGUAGGUGGCAAGCGUUGUCCGGAUUUACUGGGCGUAAAGGGCUUGUAGGCGGUUUGUUAAGUCUGGUGUGAAAUCUCCCGGCUCAACCGGGAGGGGUCAUCGGAUACUGGCAGACUUGAGACGGGUAGAGGAAAGCAGAAUUCCCGGUGUAGCGGUGAAAUGCGUAGAUAUCGGGAGGAAUACCAGUGGCGAAGGCGGCUUUCUGGGCCUGUUCUGACGCUGAGGAGCGAAAGCGUGGGGAGCAAACCGGAUUAGAUACCCCCGUAGUCC